rnacentral:rRNA from 1 species
UACGUAGGGUGCGAGCGUUAAUCGGAAUUACUGGGCGUAAAGCGUGCGCAGGCGGUUGAUUAAGUCUGAUGUGAAAGCCCCGGGCUCAACCUGGGAAUGGCAUUGGAAACUGGCGAUCUAGAGUGCGGUAGAGGGCAGUGGAAUUCCCGGUGUAGCAGUGAAAUGCGUAGAGAUCGGGAGGAACAUCUGUGGCGAAGGCGACUGCCUGGACCAGCACUGACACUGAGGCACGAAAGCGUGGGGAGCAAACAGG